rnacentral:rRNA from 1 species
UUUUUGGAGAGUUUGAUCCUGGCUCAGGACGAACGCUGGCGGCGUGCUUAACACAUGCAAGUCGAACGGGGUGUUUAUUUCGGUAAACACCAAGUGGCGAACGGGUGAGUAACGCGUAAGCAAUCUACCUUCAAGAUGGGGACAACACUUCGAAAGGGGUGCUAAUACCGAAUGAAUGUAAGAGUAUCGCAUGAGACACUUACUAAAGGAGGCCUCUGACAUAAGCUUCCGCUUGAAGAUGAGCUUGCGUCUGAUUAGCUAGUUGGUGAGGGUAAAGGCCCACCAAGGCGACGAUCAGUAGCCGGUCUGAGAGGAUGAACGGCCACAUUGGGACUGAGACACGGCCCAGACUCCUACGGGAGGCAGCAGUGGGGAAUCUUCCGCAAUGGGCGAAAGCCUGACGGAGCAACGCCGCGUGAACGAUGAAGGUCUUAGGAUCGUAAAGUUCUGUUGUUGGGGACGAAGGGUAAGAAUCAUAAUACGGUUUUUAUUUGACGGUACCUAACGAGGAAGCCACGGCUAACUACGUGCCAGCAGCCGCGGUAAUACGUAGGCGGCAAGCGUUGUCCGGAAUUAUUGGGCGUAAAGGGAGCGCAGGCGGGAAACUAAGCGGAUCUUAAAAGUGCGGGGCUCAACCCCGUGAUGGGGUCCGAACUGGUUUUCUUGAGUGCAGGAGAGGAAAGCGGAAUUCCCAGUGUAGCGGUGAAAUGCGUAGAUAUUGGGAAGAACACCAGUGGCGAAGGCGGCUUUCUGGACUGUAACUGACGCUGAGGCUCGAAAGCUAGGGUAGCGAACGGGAUUAGAUACCCCGGUAGUCCUAGCCGUAAACGAUGGAUACUAGGUGUGGGAGGUAUCGAC